UACGUAUGGUGCAAGCGUUAUCCGGAUUUACUGGGUGUAAAGGGAGCGUAGACGGAUAGGCAAGUCUGGAGUGAAAACCCAGGGCUCAACCCUGGGACUGCUUUGGAAACUGCAGAUCUGGAGUGCCGGAGAGGUAAGCGGAAUUCCUAGUGUAGCGGUGAAAUGCGUAGAUAUUAGGAGGAACACCAGUGGCGAAGGCGGCUUACUGGACAGUGACUGACGUUGAGGCUCGAAAGCGUGGGGAGCAAACAGG
rnacentral:rRNA from 1 species